rnacentral:rRNA from 1 species
CCUACGGGAGGCAGCAGUGGGGAAUAUUGCACAAUGGGGGAAACCCUGAUGCAGCGACGCCGCGUGAGUGAAGAAGUAAUUCGUUAUGUAAAGCUCUAUCAGCAGGGAAGAAAAUGACGGUACCUGAGUAAGAAGCCCCGGCUCACUACGUGCCAGCAGCCGCGGUAAUACGUAGGGGGCAAGCGUUCUCCGGAUUUACUGGGUGUAACGGGAGCGUAGACGGCAGUGCAAGUCUGGAGUGAAAGGCGGGGGCGCAACCCCCGGACUGCGCUGGAAACUGUACGGCUGGAGUGCAGGAGAGGUAAGUGGAAUUCCUAGUGUAGCGGUGAAAUGCGUAGAGAUUAGGAGGAACACCAGUGGCGAAGGCGGCUUACUGGACUGUAAAUGACGUUGAGGCUCGAAAGCGUGGGGAGCAAACAGGAUUAGAUACACGGGUAGUC